AGAGUUUGAUCAUGGCUCAGAUUGAACGCUGGCGGCAGGCCUAACACAUGCAAGUCGAACGGUAACAGGAAACAGCUUGCUGUUUCGCUGACGAGUGGCGGACGGGUGAGUAAUGUCUGGGAAACUGCCUGAUGGAGGGGGAUAACUACUGGAAACGGUAGCUAAUACCGCAUAACGUCGCAAGACCAAAGAGGGGGACCUUCGGGCCUCUUGCCAUCAGAUGUGCCCAGAUGGGAUUAGCUAGUAGGUGGGGUAACGGCUCACCUAGGCGACGAUCCCUAGCUGGUCUGAGAGGAUGACCAGCCACACUGGAACUGAGACACGGUCCGGACUCCUACGGGAGGCAGCAGUGGGGAAUAUUGCACAAUGGGCGCAAGCCUGAUGCAGCCAUGCCGCGUGUAUGAAGAAGGCCUUCGGGUUGUAAAGUACUUUCAGCGGGGAGGAAGGGAGUAAAGUUAAUACCUUUGCUCAUUGACGUUACCCGCAGAAGAAGCACCGGCUAACUCCGUGCCAGCAGCCGCGGUAAUACGGAGGGUGCAAGCGUUAAUCGGAAUUACUGGGCGUAAAGCGCACGCAGGCGGUUUGUUAAGUCAGAUGUGAAAUCCCCGGGCUCAACCUGGGAACUGCACCUGAUACUGGCAAGCUUGAGUCUCGUAGAGGGGGGUAGAAUUCCAGGUGUAGCGGUGAAAUGCGUAGAGAUCUGGAGGAAUACCGGUGGCGAAGGCGGCCCCCUGGACGAAGACUGACGCUCAGGUGCGAAAGCGUGGGGAGCAAACAGGAUUAGAUACCCUGGUAGUCCACGCCGUAAACGAUGUCGACUUGGAGGUUGUGCCCUUGAGGCGUGGCUUCCGGAGCUAACGCGUUAAGUCGACCGCCUGGGGAGUACGGCCGCAAGGUUAAAACUCAAAUGAAUUGACGGGGGCCCGCACAAGCGGUGGAGCAUGUGGUUUAAUUCGAUGCAACGCGAAGAACCUUACCUGGUCUUGACAUCCACGGAAGUUUUCAGAGAUGAGAAUGUGCCUUCGGGAACCGUGAGACAGGUGCUGCAUGGCUGUCGUCAGCUCGUGUUGUGAAAUGUUGGGUUAAGUCCCGCAACGAGCGCAACCCUUAUCCUUUGUUGCCAGCGGUCCGGCCGGGAACUCAAAGGAGACUGCCAGUGAUAAACUGGAGGAAGGUGGGGAUGACGUCAAGUCAUCAUGGCCCUUACGACCAGGGCUACACACGUGCUACAAUGGCGCAUACAAAGAGAAGCGACCUCGCGAGAGCAAGCGGACCUCAUAAAGUGCGUCGUAGUCCGGAUUGGAGUCUGCAACUCGACUCCAUGAAGUCGGAGUCGCUAGUAAUCGUGGAUCAGAAUGCCACGGUGAAUACGUUCCCGGGCCUUGUACACACCGCCCGUCACACCAUGGGAGUGGGUUGCAAAAGAAGUAGGUAGCUUAACCUUCGGGAGGGCGCUUACCACUUUGUGAUUCAUGACUGGGGUGAAGUCGUAACAAGGUAACCGUAGGGGACCUGCGGUUG
rnacentral:rRNA from 1 species